CCUACGGGUGGCAGCAGUGAGGAAUAUUGGUCAAUGGACGCGAGUCUGAACCAGCCAAGCAGCGUGCAGGAUGACUGCUCUAUGGGUUGUAAACUUCUUUUAUACGGGAAUAAUAUCUUCUACGUGUGGGUUCUUGUAUGUACCAUACGAAUAAGGAUCGGCUAACUCCGUGCCAGCAGCCGCGGUAAUACGGAGGAUCCGAGCGUUAUCCGGAUUUAUUGGGUUUAAAGGGAGCGUAGGUGGAUUGUUAAGUCAGUUGUGAAAGUUUGCGGCUCAACCGUAAAAUUGCAGUUGAAACUGGCAGUCUUGAGUACAGUAGAGGUGGGCGGAAUGCGUGGUGUAGCGGUGAAAUGCUUAGAUAUCACGAAGAACUCCGAUUGCGAAGGCAGCUCACUGAACUGCAACUGACACUGAGGCUCGAAAGUGUGGGUAUCAAACAGGAUUAGAUACCCCUGUAGUC
rnacentral:rRNA from 1 species